rnacentral:rRNA from 1 species
UAACGGCGAGUGAAGCGGCAACAGCUCAAAUUUGAAAUCUGACCCCUUUGGGGCCCGAGUUGUAAUUUGUAGAGGAUGCUUCGGGUGCGGCGCCGGUCUAAGUUCCUUGGAACAGGACGUCAUAGAGGGUGAGAAUCCCGUAUGCGACCGGCGAUCAACCCCAUGUGAAGCCCCUUCGACGAGUCGAGUUGUUUGGGAAUGCAGCUCAAAAUGGGUGGUAAAUUUCAUCUAAAGCUAAAUACCGGCCAGAGACCGAUAGCGCACAAGUAGAGUGAUCGAAAGAUGAAAAGCACUUUGGAAAGAGAGUCAAACAGUACGUGAAAUUGUUGAAAGGGAAGCGCUUGCAACCAGACCUGUCCGCGGGCGAUCAACCGUUAUUUUUAGCGGUGCACUCGUCCGUGAUCAGGCCAGCAUCGGUUUGGGCGGCUGGAUAAAGGCCCCGGGAAUGUAGCUCCUCUCGGGGAGUCUUAUAGCCCGAGGUGCAAUGCGGCCAGCCCGGACCGAGGACCGCGCUUCGGCUAGGAUGCUGGCAUAAUGGUUGUAAGCGAC